rnacentral:rRNA from 1 species
ACUCAAAACUCAAAGGACUUGACGGUGUCCCAAACCAACCUAGAGGAGCCUGUCCUAUAAUCGAUAAUCCACGCUUCACCUUACCCCCCCUUGCAAACCAGUCUGUAUACCGCCGUCUUUCAGUUCGUCUUAUGACAGACCCAGAACAAACACAACAGCCCACCACUAAAACGUCAGGUCAAGGUGCAGCCAAUGGGGGGGGCAGCGAUGGGCUACAUUUUCUACCACAACAGAACACCACAAACCACCACAUGAAAUAUAGGCCACAAGGCGGAUUUAGCAGUAAGCCAAACA